UGAGGUAGAGGCGCGAAAACCAUAAGUAUCCUGCUGGAGGAAUGAGAAUCCGGAGAAAGCGGGGGAAAGGGGAAUUCGCCGAAAUGGCAGAACGAAUCUCGACGUCUGCUGUUGGGCCUGCAUUGAAUAAGUGCAGGACUGUCACCGGAUUAUCGUCCCGGAUAGCCGGUGGAGUACUAUCU
rnacentral:ncRNA from 1 species